rnacentral:rRNA from 1 species
CCUACGGGAGGCAGCAGUGGGGAAUAUUGCACAAUGGGCGAAAGCCUGAUGCAGCAACGCCGCGUGCGGGAUGACGGCCUUCGGGUUGUAAACCGCUUUCAGUUCCGACGAAGGUAACCUGACGGUAGGAACAGAAGAAGGACCGGCCAACUACGUGCCAGCAGCCGCGGUGAUACGUAGGGUCCGAGCGUUGUCCGGAAUUAUUGGGCGUAAAGGGCUUGUAGGCGGUUCGUCGCGUCGGAAGUGAAAACUCAGGGCUUAACCCUGAGCCUGCUUCCGAUACGGGCGAACUAGAGGGAUGCAGGGGAGAACGGAAUUCCUGGUGGAGCGGUGGAAUGCGCAGAUAUCAGGAGGAACACCGGUGGCGAAGGCGGUUCUCUGGGCAUUUCCUGACGCUGAGAAGCGAAAGCGUGGGGAGCAAACAGGCUUAGAUACCCUGGUAGUCCACGCCGUAAACGGUGGGCACUAGGUGUGGGGGACAUUCCACGUUCUCCGUGCCGCAGCUAACGCAUUAAGUGCCCCGCCUGGGGAGUACGGCCGCAAGGCUAAAAACU